UGGAGAAUGGAGAGAGCUGUGCUUUUUCGCUCUACAAUCUUCCCACGCUCUUCACACUGACGGAGUUUCACCGCCAGCCGUCAAUCACUUCUGAGUACUCCAUUGCUAUCUUCUAAUUUUACCCUUUCUUUUUUCUUGUCUAAUUUGACUCUUUCUUGUUUUACUUGUUAGAGUUUCUUGGUGCGUGCUGACAAAUUCGGGUUCAAGUAAGUGUCGGAAGAGUUUAUUGAUGAGUGUCAAUCUAAAACUGUUUUGUAUAAACACAAGAAAACAGGCGCUGAAGUAAUGUCAGUAUCCAAUGACGAUGAGAACAAAGUUUUUGGUGUCGUCUUCCGAAAGAUUCUACUGGAAUUCCUCACAUAUUGGAACACAGUGAACUGUGCGGUUCAAGAAAGUAUCCCCUGUUGAAGGGAAGCCUGAACACUUUUCUGAAUGCUGUCACUUAUCCGGAUAGGACUUGUUAUCUGCGGUGUCCAUAAAUACAAAAGGAUUUCUACAAACUUGUUGAUGUGUACUUAAAUGCUGUCUUUUCCCCUAAAUAUGUGGAGGAUUUCCAACCAUUUCAACAAGAGCGUUAGCAUUAUGAACUGAAUGACCCUUCGGCCUUCAGAUGACAUAACUUUUUAAGGUCUUCCCAGUUGCAAUUUCAUGUGGCAAUACAUUCAUUCUAAACCCAUCUGAGAAAGCUCCAAGUAAUUGGUUGUUUUGGGUGAAAAUUUAAGGUGAAUAGUUCUGAAAGAGGACAUUGCCAAUGCCAUCUGUGAUGAUGACGAUAUUGAAGUUGUGUCUUUUGUUGGUUCUGAUGCUG